CUAAUACCGCAUAAGCGCACGAGGAGACAUCUCCUAGUGUGAAAAACUCCGGUGGUACAGGAUGGGCCCGCGUCUGAUUAGCUGGUUGGCAGGGUAACGGCCUACCAAGGCAACGAUCAGUAGCCGGUCUGAGAGGAUGAACGGCCACAUUGGAACUGAGACACGGUCCAAACUCCUACGGGAGGCAGCAGUGGGGAAUAUUGCACAAUGGGGGAAACCCUGAUGCAGCAACGCCGCGUGAGUGAAGAAGUAUUUCGGUAUGUAAAGCUCUAUCAGCAGGGAAGAUAAUGACGGUACCUGACUAAGAAGCUCCGGCUAAAUACGUGCCAGCAGCCGCGGUAAUACGUAUGGAGCAAGCGUUAUCCGGAUUUACUGGGUGUAAAGGGUGCGUAGGUGGCAGUGCAAGUCAGAUGUGAAAGGCCGGGGCUCAACCCCGGAGCUGCAUUUGAAACUGCUCGGCUAGAGUACAGGAGAGGCAGGCGGAAUUCCUAGUGUAGCGGUGAAAUGCGUAGAUAUUAGGAGGAACACCAGUGGCGAAGGCGGCCUGCUGGACUGUUACUGACACUGAGGCACGAAAGCGUGGGGAGCAAACAGGAUUAGAUACCCUGGUAGUCCACGCCGUAAAC
rnacentral:rRNA from 1 species